rnacentral:tRNA from 1 species
AACAAAGUAAUUUAUAAUGAGAAUAUUAGGUUUGCGUCUUAAAUGAAGGAUUUUCCUCUUUGUUA